rnacentral:rRNA from 1 species
UAAUAGCGUAUAUUUAAGUUGUUGCAGUUAAAAAGCUCGUAGUUGGAUUUCGGUUAAGAGCGACCGGUCCGCCGUUUGGUGUGCACUGGUUGGUUUUAACUUCCUGUAGAGGACGUGCUCUGGGUUUAACGACCUGGACUCGGAGUCUACGUGGUUACUUUGAAAAAAUUAGAGUGUUCAAAGCGGGCUUACGCUUGAAUAUUUCAGCAUGGAAUAACACUAUAGGACUCCUGUCCUAUUUCGUUGGUCUCGGGACGGGAGUAAUGAUUAAGAGGAACAGUUGGGGGCAUUCGUAUUUCAUUGUCAGAGGUGAAAUUCUUGGAUUUAUGAAAGACGAACUUCUGCGAAAGCAUUUGCCAAGGAUGUUUUCAUUAA